rnacentral:rRNA from 1 species
UACGAAGGGGGCUAGCGUUGCUCGGAAUUACUGGGCGUAAAGGGCGCGUAGGCGGGUGUUUAAGUCAGAGGUUAAAUCCCAGGGCUCAACCCUGGAACUGCCUUUGAUACUGGGCACCUAGAGUUCGGGAGAGGUGUGUGGAACUCCGAGUGUAGAGGUGAAAUUCGUAGAUAUUGGGAAGAACACCGGUGGCGAAGGCGGCGACCUGGUCCAUUACUGACGCUGAGGCGCGAAAGCGUGGGGAGCAAACAGG